rnacentral:rRNA from 1 species
ACCUCCUUCGGGAGGGGAUUAGUGGCGAACGGGUGAGUAACACGUGGGCAAUCUGCCCUGCACUCUGGGACAAGCCCUGGAAACGGGGUCUAAUACCGGAUACUGAUCAUCUUGGGCAUCCUUGGUGAUCGAAAGCUCCGGCGGUGCAGGAUGAGCCCGCGGCCUAUCAGCUUGUUGGUGAGGUAAUGGCUCACCAAGGCGACGACGGGUAGCCGGCCUGAGAGGGCGACCGGCCACACUGGGACUGAGACACGGCCCAGACUCCUACGGGAGGCAGCAGUGGGGA